GGUCCCGUGGUGUAGCGGUUCAACAUGCGGCCCUGUCAAGGCCGAGAUCGCGGGUUCAAAUCCCGUCGGGACCGCAA
rnacentral:tRNA from 1 species